rnacentral:rRNA from 1 species
AUUGAACGCUGGCGGCAGGCCUAACACAUGCAAGUCGAACGAGUGGCGGACGGGUGAGUAAUGUCUGGGAAACUGCCUGAUGGAGGGGGAUAACUACUGGAAACGGUAGCUAAUACCGCAUACCAUCAGAUGUGCCCAGAUGGGAUUAGCUAGUUGGUGGGGUAACGCCUCACCAAGGCGACGAUCCCUAGCUGGUCUGAGAGGAUGACCUGCCACACUGGAACUGUGACACGGUCCAGACUCCUACGGGACGCAGCAGUGUGGAAUAUUGCACCAUGGGCGCAAGCCUGAUGCAGCCAUGCCGCGUGUAUGAAGAAGGCCUUCGGGUUGUAGAGUACUUUCAUCGGGGAGGCGUUACCCGCAGAAGAAGCACCGGCUAACUCCGUGCCAGCAGCCGCGGUAAUUC